rnacentral:rRNA from 1 species
CCUACGGGUGGCAGCAGUGAGGAAUAUUGGUCAAUGGACGAGAGUCUGAACCAGCCAAGUAGCGUGAAGGAUGACUGCCCUAUGGGUUGUAAACUUCUUUUAUAUGGGAAUAAACUGUUCCACGUGUGGGAUUUUGUAUGUACCAUAUGAAUAAGGUUCGGCUAACUCCGUGCCAGCACCCGCGGUAAUACGGGGGAUCCGAGCGUUAACCGGAUUUAGUGGGUUUAAAGGGAGCGUAGGUGGAUUAUUAAGUCAGGUGUGAAAGUUUGCGGCUCAACCGUGAAAUUGCAGUUGAAACUGGCAGUCUUGAGGACAGUAGAGGUGGGCGGAAUUCGAGGUGUAGCGGUGAAAUG